GAAAGCUACUUGUCUUUUUUUAAAGACUAAAUUUGCUGUACAUCAGACAGUUGGCCAAGGAUGCCAACAUGCAGCCAGACUGCAGAGAGUUAAUCAAAUUAUGCAUGUGAUAUGCAGGACAAAAUCAUCUAAUCAAAAUCUUCGUAAUAUAAUCAGACAGAAUCAAGAAAAUCGAAUGCUCUUUGGGCCAAAAUUGAAAGUUAAGACAUCAACAAAAAAGGAAAGCAAAACUAGGUGGAAAAAAAAGAUUUCUUCCAAAGCUGAAGGAGUGCUGUCAUCCGAGUCAACCGGUGGUGGAGAUGAUGUGUUUGUUCAAAUUGAAAAUGAGAUUAUUUCUGAUGGAUCUGAUUGGGACCCCUAUAUUCCCGAUGAAAGCAUUAUUAAGGACAGCAUUAUUAAUUCCGAAAACCUUGAUAUUGCUAAUCCUCGACAUGGUGCUGAUACUUCAGAAAGAACAGUUAUUGCUAAUAAGAAUAUCUUGAAAUCGAGCAAGUCAAAGAAGUCUAAAAAUAAAUUUAUUCCCACUAAUUCGGAGGAAAAUCUGCCAGACGUGCCUGUGAUAGAUGGAAUAUUAAAUGUGUCAGUAUAUCCAGACAGGACAUCAGAUGAGGAUCAGCUGCAGACUUUCAGAUCCCACGUAGAGAGGUUUUCUUUACGCAGUCUUCCCAGCGUUAGUGCAAUUCUUAACAAAACUCAGUCUGAGUUGUCGCGGUUCUUCCUGGAACGGUGGAAACAGCAGAUGGUGAAAAAGCUUGGUGAAGACGGAUUCAAGAAAUACCAAGAAGAGAUGUUAUACAAUGGGAUAAAUCUGCAUGCUAACAUUCAGCAGUUUCUAUCCGGAUACCGUGACAUUCAGAUUCAGCCAAAUGUUGAGGGUUACUGGCACAGCCUGGAGGGGGUGCUUUCCAAAGUUGGGGAGGUAUCGGCAUGUGAAGACUCUGUCAGCCAUGAGGGACUCAUGUACAAGGGCAAGUUUGAUUGUGUUGCGAUCUACAGGUUAAUAGAAAGAAGGUGUGAGGAGGUGGGCGUUGCUGUGCUGGUGAGGAAGUUGAAAACUGGGGAUGUUCACAUUACUCAUCUCGCUGGCUGGCUGCACUUAAUGAAUGGUCUUCAUGCUGUGGACAGAUGUCUGUGUGUCGACAUUUAUGGUUCACAAACUGGCACGUCAUGUACAAGUUGCUGCUUUGUAGUUUGUUAAACAGAAACAAAGGAUAGUGGAUGAUUAAGAAGCUUACUGCCACAACACAUUAUCAAGCAGCAGGAUAGCACCUAUAGCAGGAGACUGUCUGUGUGUAAUAGACUGGAAGACAUCACAGAAGCCCAAACCUCUCUUGUCCAACACGUUUGACAGUCCAAUCCAGGUUGCAGCCUACCUCGGUGCCAUUAACAGCAGUGCACAGC
rnacentral:misc_RNA from 1 species